ACAGCCACAUCAUGAUGAAGCACCGGUUCCCAUAUAUUCACUGAAGUUAAGUAACAUCAAGCCUGGUCAGUACCAUGAUGGGUGACUACUUAGGAAAACCAGGUGCUGUAA